GACGAACGCUGGCGGCGUGCUUAACACAUGCAAGUCGAACGGAAAGGCCCUGCUUUUGUGGGGUGCUCGAGUGGCGAACGGGUGAGUAACACGUGAGUAACCUGCCCUUGACUUUGGGAUAACUUCAGGAAACUGGGGCUAAUACCGGAUAGGAGCUCCUGCUGCAUGGUGGGGUUUGGAAAGUUUCGGCGGUUGGGGAUGGACUCGCGGCUUAUCAGCUUGUUGGUGGGGUAGUGGCUUACCAAGGCUUCGACGGGUAGCCGGCCUGGGAGGGUGACCGGCCACAUUGGGACUGAGGUACGGACCAGACGGCAACGGGAGGCAGCGGGGGAGAAUAUUGCACAAUGGGCGGAAGCCUGAUGCAGCGGCGCCGGGUGCGGGAUGACGGCCUUCGGGUUAGAAACCGCUUUCGCCUGUGACGAAGCGUGAGUGACGGUAAUGGGUAAAGAAGCACCGGCUAACUACGUG
rnacentral:rRNA from 1 species